GACGAACCGUGCGAACGUUGUUCGGAAUCACUGGGCUUAAAGGGCGCGUAGGCGGGCCUCCAAGUCCGGGGUGAAAUCCUCCCGCCUAACGGGAGAAGAGCCUCGGAGACUGGGGGCCUCGAGGAGGGUAGGGGCGUGCGGAACUCUGGGUGGAGCGGUGAAAUGCAUUGAUAUCCAGAGGAACUCCGGUGGCGAAGGCGGCACGCUGGACCCUUUCUGACGCUGAGGCGCGAAAGCCAGGGGAGCAAACGGG
rnacentral:rRNA from 1 species